GCUCACAUUUGUAAUCGGAAGACCAGAAAUCUUUCCUCCGAAAUCGUCGUAGGUGCUCAUCUUCCACCCUAUUCCGAUCUUCACUCUCGCUCAAAUUUCUUUGAUGGUAGUUGGACUUCGACAAUCCCAGUCCCAGAUAACCUAAAUCCUUGCCGCUUCGACUUGGGUUCCCAUUAAUUCGACCUAUAUUUGAUUGACCCGUAUCCUUUUUCUUCCUUUCUUUUCAAGGUUGUAGCUUUUGACUCGGCCUGACAUGACCUAAUUCUCACCCUUCUUUUUCUGGUGCAUGCAGCUGCAGAAUUGCUUGGAUCUCGGAAUAGCCGGAGCUCAAUGGCAACUCCGAUAGUUGCAAGUCUCUCGGUGGCUGUGGCUGCGGCUGUGAUGGGAGGUAGAUAUUUGAUUCAGGCAUUUGAGGCUCUCCCUGUUGUUCCUGUUUCAGAGAGCAUGCUCAAUUUGACAAGAUCAAGUUCAUAGAAGAGUGAUGGUAGCUAACCAUCCUGAUAGUGGAGGAAGCCAUUACCUUGCUUCCCAGAUCAAUGAAGCAAACGAUAUGUUGGUUGAUACAUUGAGAGGAUUCGAUUAAAUUAAUGGCAUAAUUUGAAGUUUCAUGUAAAAUUUGUAUUUUUAUCAUUUGAAGCAGUCCCUUUAAUUUUUGAAGGUGUCAAAAUGGCACCUUGAAAUAAAGUGUGUUUUUUUUGUUGUUGUAAAGAUAAGCGACGAACGUGGGAUUCGAGUCCAAGAUCUUGUAAUAGCUAAGUUAACCGGCACCUUCAAGUUCUAUUUUUGGUGAAUGAAUAAUUAAAUCCGUAUUUUGAUGAUUGAGAACAA